rnacentral:tRNA from 1 species
GGAUAUAUAGCUCAGUUGGGAGAGUGCUUGCUUUGUGUGUACAAGGCCCUGGGUUCAAUCCCCAGUGUUGCCA